rnacentral:rRNA from 1 species
CCAAUAGCGUAUAUUAAAGUUGUUGCAGUUAAAAAGCUCGUAGUUGGAUUUCUGGUGCAAUGCGCCUAGCCCGCCUCGUUCAGAGUGUGUGUGCUGGUGCGCGUUCGCCAUCUUUCUAGAGAACGUUUCUACCCUUCACUGGGCCGGAUUCGCAAUCUAGAUCGUUUACUUUGAAAAAAUUAGAGUGUUUAAAGCAGGCUUUUGCUGUGAAUACAUUAGCAUGGAAUAAUAAUUUAGGACUUCGGUUCUAUUUUACUGGCUUCUAGAUCUGAAGUAAUGAUUGAUAGGGAUAGUUGGGGGUGCUAGUAUUCAGCGGCCAGAGGUGAAAUUCUUGGAUUCGCUGAAGACUAACUUAUGCGAAAGCAUUCACCAAGGAUGUCUUCUUUAA